CUGGAAAAAAUUAUGCCCUCUCCACAGUAUUUUACGACCUGCAGUGCAGUAGUCGGCAGGGUCAUUCAGCCCAGGGCUUGUCUGGUUCUUUCGGGGGGUUGUAGACUCUAUUUUCUACCUUACAGUCCCUGCUUCAGGCCAACCAGGAGAGAUUACAUUCAAUUCAAUCAUCCUUAGCCCAGCAGUUGUCCUUUUUUACCAUCUGUUAUCAUAUCUCCUCUCUCCCGUCUGCCUGGGCUGAGAGGGAGGGAGGAGCGGCUCUCAGAUCUGCGCUCUGACUCAGGCAAUAACAUGUUAUAUAUGACCAGGAAUGGAGACAGAUGUCUGUGAAAGAUCAUUCCCUGGAUUGAAGAAGGACUCUGGGGAGGGAAGCCUCUUAAUGGCUCUCGUGUCACAUAAUGUGCUCUAUUUUAUCUUCAUUGCAAAACACUCAUUGUUCUUUUGCUCACUUACUGCCUUGAGCAACCUUAAUCAUCAAAAUUUGAAAUGCUUUGGCCGAGAGUGUCACAAUUUUUGGCAGAUCAACCCUCGUGUUUGUCUCCCUGAGGCAGUGCUGCUUGUCGGCAGACACAGAUAUAGGGAAAGAGCCCUCGUAUCAUGACAAGGAGUACGCUCUGUCUCACAAGCAUGGAGAGAGCAUUUUCAGGGGAUGUGUGUACUUGUACGAUCCGGUACAUUUUCCUACCUGCAGUGUGUGCUGUCAGCUGUAGUAUACAAUAAGCCUAUGUAAUACAGGCAGCUCAUCACUCACCAUCGCCUGUGUGAAUAUGUGCACUCUGGGAGAAAAAAGCAAGCAGCCAUUGCUUUCACAUCUUCUUUUUGUUUAUGUGCAAAUUUUCCCAUAAUGUCUACAUAAUUUUGGUUGAGAUUUACAGAGAUUAAAGAAUAUUUAAGUAGUGGAGUUCAGUCUUUAUAUUUUCAAUACUUCAUAUUUUAAAUAUAAGAAGACACCUUGUUAAUUCACAAUUGUGUAAAAAUCCAUAAGAAAUUCUGGAAAAGGUAAUUGUAGCUAUUAAAUUCGUGACACCUUGACUGGUGCAUAAUCACCAUAAUCAUGUGCUGCUGUUAGAAUCUGCCACUGAAACUAUUACAAAUAAAUAAAUAAAAUAAACUGUUUGACAUUUAAUAUUUUAAUUAUACACCUCCAGCUGAAUACCUAUUUAUGAUUCAUUAUAUAAUAAAUAAACAGUCGAAUUAGUGAUCAGAUUACAAAGAACACUGUCUUACUGAACUCACUGAACUUUUAUAAUAUCCAUGGCACUGAAAAGGAAAUGAAAACCUGUAAUGAGAGAAAAAAAAAAACGUAAUGAAGACGUGAAAGUUGUUUUGAUACGGCAUUAAAAAAGUUCAUGUGAAUUUGUCAACCAAACAAAUAUGCAGAGAAUUUCCACUAAAGGUGAGAAAGGUUAAUAUCUGGCCUCAGUGUGGCUUUCAGAGCACAAGGGUUUAAUAAUUAAUGCUCUUUCACUGAGACAUUCUGAUAACGUCUGCAGCAGAAUAUUAAAGAGUAAUACUUCCUCCCUAACCACUAAGGCAGGAACUCGCAUUCUCUUAUACUGUAUGUAUCUGCCUCAUCCUUUUAUUUCUGCCUCUUAUUUACUCGAUUUUUAGGAAGUGUCUGCAGUAGGUGAAAGAUAAAGGAAGAGAGAAGGUGAGAGA